rnacentral:rRNA from 1 species
CAAUAGCGUAUAUUUAAGUUGUUGCAGUUAAAAAGCUCGUAGUUGGAUUUCGGGUUGGCUUCAGCGGUCUCGCUUUGCGUUUGUACUGCUGCAGCCUACCUUCUUGUCGGGGACGGGCCUUCGGGCUUAAUUGCUUGGGGCCCGGAGUCGACGAUGUUACUUUGAGUAAAUUAGAGUGUUCAAAGCAAGCCUACGCUCUGAAUAUAAUAGCAUGGGAUAACACGACAGGACUCUGGCCUAUCGUGUUGGUCUGUAGGACCAGAGUAAUGAUUAAGAGUGACAGUCGGGGGCAUUCGUAUUCCGUUGUCAGAGGUGAAAUUCUUGGAUUUACGGAAGACGAACAUCUGCGAAAGCAUUUGCCAAGGAUGUUUUCAUUGA